CUACGGGGUGCAGCAGUGGGGAAUUUUGGACAAUGGAGGAAACUCUGAUCCAGGGAUACCGCGUGGGUGAUGAAGAUUUACGGAUUGUAAAGCCCUUUUAGUAGGGAAAAUAAUGAUGGUACCUACAGAAAAAGCAUCAGCUAACUCUGUACCAGCAGCUGCGGUAAUACAGAGGAUGCGAGUGUUAUUCGGAAUCACUGGGCGUAAAGGGCGCGUAGGCGGUUAUUUAAGUCCGCAAUGAAAUACCGGGGCUCAACUUCGGUGCUGUUGUGGAUACUGUUUAACUAGAGAACGGAAGAGGUGAAUAGAAUUCCUGGUGGAGAGGUGAAAUUCUUAGAUAUCAGGAGGAAUGCCAGAGGCGAAAGCGGUUCACUGGGACGUUUCUGACGCUGAGGCGCGAAAGCGUGGGGAUCAAACAGGAUUAGAUACCCCCGUAGUC
rnacentral:rRNA from 1 species